rnacentral:rRNA from 1 species
CCUACGGGUGGCAGCAGUGGGGAAUAUUGGACAAUGGGCGAAAGCCUGAUCCAGCCAUGCCGCGUGUGUGAAGAAGGCCUUCGGGUUGUAAAGCACUUUCAGUGGGGAAGAAAGCCUUGGGGCUAAUACCCUCGAGGAAGGACAUCACCCACAGAAGAAGCACCGGCUAACUCCGUGCCAGCAGCCGCGGUAAUACGGAGGGUGCGAGCGUUAAUCGGAAUUACUGGGCGUAAAGCGCGCGUAGGCGGUCUGAUAAGCCGGUUGUGAAAGCCCCGGGCUCAACCUGGGAACGGCAUCCGGAACUGUCAGGCUAGAGUGCAGGAGAGGAAGGUAGAAUUCCCGGUGUAGCGGUGAAAUGCGUAGAGAUCGGGAGGAAUACCAGUGGCGAAGGCGGCCUUCUGGACUGACACUGACGCUGAGGUGCGAAAGCGUGGGUAGCAAACAGGAUUAGAUACCCGGGUAG